GGGCGUGUUCUGGAUUUGAUUUAAAUUGAAUUUGUAUACUGCAAGUAGGAGUUGCAUCUGGCUCCUCAAAAAGGUGCAAACUCAUACAUGGCAAUAAGUCACGUGUAAAAGCUUUUGCGUUCAAAAAACGCGAGCUUGCUUUAGCAGCUUAGCUCUGCUACCUCACAACCUUUGACGCAGAUAAAAGGAUUGUGGGGUUAUUAAUCUGCAAAACAGAUAAAAGUUUAUCCAUUUCAUAAACUGUACCACUGAGUAUUCGGGGGCCUCAAGUUUGAGUGAAUAAUUGAAAUGGCUAGUUAGAUGUUUAUAUCAUAACUUUAAAAAAAAAUAAACUAAACUUGUAGAUGUAUAUCCUUGAAGGUUUAAAGACGCGAGUUCGACUCUCGCCACGUCCACCA
rnacentral:sRNA from 1 species